UGUGUAGGCGGUCGUUUAAGUUUGGUGUGAAAUCUCCCGGCUCAACUGGGAGGGUGCGCCGAAUACUGAAUGACUCGAGUGCGGGAGAGGAGAGUGGAAUUCCUGGUGUAGCGGUGAAAUGCGUAGAGAUCAGGAGGAACACCGGUGGUGUAGACGGCUCUCUGGACCGUAACUGACGCUGAGACACGAAAGCGUGGGUAGCAAACAGGAUUAGAUACCCUGGUAGUCCACGCCCUAAACGAUGCAUAUUUGGUGUGGGCAGUUCAUUCUGUCCGUGCCGGAGCUAACGCGUUAAAUAUGCCGCCUGGGGAGUACAGUCGCAAGGCUGAA
rnacentral:rRNA from 1 species